AUAUUUUACGUAUAUGUGUUUUGAACCCUAACAUUAAAAAACACUUUUUAUUAGAAAUAUAAACAUUUAUUAAUUGCAAAAAUAGUCAGUUCCAAAAACUUUCAACAGCGGAUUUUCUAUUUUUUCUGUUCAAAAUUUACAUGUACAAAUAUCGACUCACAGUUAAACCGGCAUAUUUAAAAAUAAAUAUGCCAAAAUUAAAUAUUCCAAAACUUAAUAUCCUCUCACGAAUGUAAACUGAAAGUCUUGUAGGUUUUACAGUUCCAGGACGAAUUUCCAUUUUGUUCUUAUAUGCAAUGAUUAAUUUUCAAUAAAUUAAUUAAAGAGGUCUCAUUUCAUUUCAUUAAAUGCAAUUGCCAAUAUGUUGAUCGAAAAUGGACAGAUGGAUAUUUUAAUGUACCUUAUCAUGUGAUAUAUUAGGUCAGUGUAUCCAGGAUACGAGGACAAUCUGCGUUAACGCGCGUUUACUA
rnacentral:lncRNA from 1 species